AAUGUGUCAGUGCGAGGAAAGUCAAACCUGUCCAUCCAGUGUAUGUAAAUGUGGACCCGGAUGUAAAUGUGGACCUGGGUGCAAGUGCACUGGAUGUCAGCUGAAAUGAAGCUGUAGCGGUAAUUGUGCAUGUGGAAAAGGCUGCACCAGUCCUGAAUCUUGCAAAUGCGCAAAUGACUAGCUGCAAAAAUUGAAAUAUAUAGUCCUGUGGCCGUCAGGAAUAUCUCAUGUUUCACAACCAAAGAACAAAAUACAUGUAAAUAGAUUUUCCAGUUAGAUAACAAAAUAAAUUGAUUUUCCAGUUA